rnacentral:misc_RNA from 1 species
AUCGAAAGCGGAACGUUCGAUGAACUGGUGGCCAGCGGCGGUUAUUUCGCCAGGCUCGCAAGGGCGCAGUUCAUGGUUCAGGAAGGUGCUCACCCGGAACCGGCGGUGCGACCGACCGCAGUUUCGCGGACAUAAAGUUGUGGUGCAUCACCGGUCUUGUCCCGGUGAUCCCGAUAAAUUGAGCACAGUGCCCCGUCCGCCGGGACGGCCGGAACAAGUCCGGCCAUGACAGAACAACGUGUGGGCAUUGUCGAAUUUUGGCCCAUUUCAUGCUUGAUUGAGCCUCAAAGCCCCUGUUCGGACGGGUGCGCUACGGUAUAAGUAUUGUGCGCAUCUGAUUU